GAGACGCUGGCGGCGUGCCUAACACAUGCAAGUCGAGCGAAUGAAGUUCCUUCGGGAACGGAUUUAGCGGCGGACGGGUGAGUAACACGUGGGCAACCUACCUCAUAGAGGGGAAUAGCCUUCCGAAAGGGAGAUUAAUACCGCAUAAGAUUGUAGUACCCGCAUGGUACAGCAAUUAAAGGAGCAAUCCGCUAUGAGAUGGGCCCGCGGCGCAUUAGCUAGUUGGUGAGGUAACGGCUCACCAAGGCGACGAUGCGUAGCCGGCCUGAGAGGGUGAUCGGCCACAUUGGGACUGAGACACGGCCCAGACUCCUACGGGAGGCAGCAGUGGGGAAUAUUGCACAAUGGGGGAAACCCUGAUGCAGCAACGCCGCGUGAGUGAUGACGGCCUUCGGAUUGUAAAGCUCUCCGUCUUCAGGGACGAUAAUGACGGUACCUGAGGAGGAAGCCACGGCUAACUACGUG
rnacentral:rRNA from 1 species